CCUACGGGGAGCAGCAGUGGGGAAUAUUGGACAAUGGGCGAAAGCCUGAUCCAGCCAUGCCGCGUGUGUGAAGAAGGCCUUCGGGUUGUAAAGCACUUUCAGUGGGGAAGAAAGCCUUGGGGCUAAUACCCUCGAGGAAGGACAUCACCCACAGAAGAAGCACCGGCUAACUCCGUGCCAGCAGCCGCGGUAAUACGGAGGGUGCGAGCGUUAAUCGGAAUUACUGGGCGUAAAGCGCGCGUAGGCGGUCUGAUAAGCCGGUUGUGAAAGCCCCGGGCUCAACCUGGGAACGGCAUCCGGAACUGUCAGGCUAGAGUGCAGGAGAGGAAGGUAGAAUUCCCGGUGUAGCGGUGAAAUGCGUAGAGAUCGGGAGGAACACCAGUGGCGAAGGCGGCCUUCUGGACUGACACUGACGCUGAGGUGCGAAAGCGUGGGUAGCAAACAGGAUUAGAUACCCGGGUAGUC
rnacentral:rRNA from 1 species